UGAGGAAUAUUGGUCAAUGGGCGGGAGCCUGAACCAGCCAAGCCGCGUGAGGGAAGAAGGCCCUAUGGGUCGUAAACCUCUUUUGUCAGGGAACAAAAGCGAGUAUGUAUACUGGUCUGAGUGUACCUGAAGAAAAAGCAUCGGCUAACUCCGUGCCAGCAGCCGCGGUAAUACGGAGGAUGCGAGCGUUAUCCGGAUUUAUUGGGGUUUCAAAGGGUUGCGUAGGCGGCGGUGCAAGUCAGCGGUAAAAUGCCCGGGGCUCAACCCCGGCGAGCCGUUGAAACUGCAGUGCUAGAGAAGGCGAGAGGUACGCGGAAUGCGCAGUGUAGCGGUGAAAUGCUUAGAUAUUGCGCAGAACUCCGAUUGCGAAGGCAGCGUACUGGCGCCUGACUGACGCUGAGGCACGAAAGCGUGGGGAUCGAACAGGAUUAGAUACC
rnacentral:rRNA from 1 species